rnacentral:rRNA from 1 species
GACGAACGCUGGCGGCGUGCCUAAUACAUGCAAGUAGAACGCUGAGGGAGGAGCUUGCUUCUCUGGAUGAGUUGCGAACGGGUGAGUAACGCGUAGGUAACCUGCCUGGUAGCGGGGGAUAACUAUUGGAAACGAUAGCUAAUACCGCAUAAUAGUAGAUGUUGCAUGACAUUUGCUUAAAAGGUGCAAUUGCAUCACUACCAGAUGGACCUGCGUUGUAUUAGCUAGUUGGUGGGGUAACGGCUCACCAAGGCGACGAUACAUAGCCGACCUGAGAGGGUGAUCGGCCACACUGGGACUGAGACACGGCCCAGACUCCUACGGGAGGCAGCAGUAGGGAAUCUUCGGCAAUGGACGGAAGUCUGACCGAGCAACGCCGCGUGAGUGAAGAAGGUUUUCGGAUCGGAAAGCUCUGUUGUAAGAGAAGAACGAGUGUGAGAGUGGAAAGUUCACACUGUGACGGUAUCUUACCAGAAAGGGACGGCUAACUACGUG